UUGAGAAUAUGAUUUUCUAUCCUAAAAUACAGUGCUACGUGAAAUUAUUAAAUGUAUCGUUGUUGUUUUGAAUUGAUUGUGCCUCAUUCAGUAUUUAGUAGUGAUAUUUUACAGACACACACACAAUGCUUGAUACGGGAUUUGCUAGCAAAUGAAGCAGGAUAGUUUUAAUUGGAGAUUGUGUUUUUGAUGACGUCGCUUUGUGUAAUCUUCACUCUCCCAUAACUCCCUCUAUCUCCUCAUGGUUGUGGACUCUAACCUUCCGUCUUAAAAGUACGACCCUGCAGAGAUGCUGUGUGCAGUGUUCUGGGAGAGCAGUUACUCUGACAUACUGGUCUCCAUCCUCUGUGCUUUCUCCAUCUGCAUCUCCCUCCCCUUCCUCAUCUGCUCUCUCUUCACUGCUGCUGGCUGUGGGAGGAACUGCGACAGUGACCCAGAUGACCUCACCUGUCACUCCUCUGAUGGUUGCCUUCUAUCUGCUCUCUCCCCUGAAGCCAAUGGUUAUUUUUGACCCCUCUCACCACAGCGGAUUCUCCUGGGUAGACUGGACCUAUCCCCUGCACCUGAUUGGCUGAGAACCCUGUCGUCGGUUAUGUCCUACCUAGACUUCGGAUUGAACUCCAUCUACUGUGCCAAUCAGGACUUCCGGGAGGCGGGAUUUGCUCUGUUCUGGACCAGUAGGAAGUUGUUAAUUCUCUGAGCAUGUGCUGACAAGCAUGACGAAGUUGGAAUU